GCAGGAUACCACCCUGAAGGCACUGGGCUGCAUUUGAUCUCAGAAGCUAAGCAGGGCGGGGCCUCGUUAGUACUUGGAUGGGAGAAGCACAGGAUGUCAGGUCCCACC
rnacentral:rRNA from 1 species